rnacentral:rRNA from 1 species
GUGAGGAAUUUUGCGCAAUGGCCUAACGGCUGACGCAGCAACGCCGCGUGACUGAUGAAGCUCUAAGGAGCGUAAAGGUCUGUUAGGGGGGGCGAACGGGGUCCACACGAAUAGCGUGGGCUCGUGACGGUACCCCCAGAGAAAGCACCGGCCAACUCCGUGCCAGCAGCCGCGGUAAUACGGGGGGUGCAAGCGUUGUCCGGAAUCACUGGGCGUAAAGGGUGUGUAGGCGGGUUGUUAAGUCUGGUGUUUAAUCUGUCGGCUUAACCGGCAAUCGGCACCGGAAACUGGCAGCCUUGAGUGACGCAGAGGAAGGUGGAAUUCCAGGUGUAGCGGUGAAAUGCGUAGAUAUCUGGAAGAACACCGGUAGCGAAGGCGGCCUUCUGGGCGUGCACUGACGCUGAGACACGAAAGCGUGGGGAGCGAACAGGAUUAGAUACCCGAGUAGUCC